CACACACACACUCAUAUGCACACACUCACACACAAAGAUCAUCUCGUUUCUUUUACUAAUGUUUCAGGACCUGUAGACAGCCUAGCAGGGCAGGUAGAAGGACCAGCAAACUCAGAUAACCCUCUUCUGAUGCAUUCAUGUGGAGACACUUGCUCCCAGCAGCUUGGGAUACACGUGUGGGUGGAUUUCAUAGCAGCAGCAAGACUCUCUCAACUGUUGAAUAUGACCCCCACAGGAGCACCUUAUAUUUGAAAAGACUUCACAGUUGUGUGUAAGAAGAUAAGAUAAGCCCCGUGGGAUGUUAAAACAUGUCCCCAGCCAUGCAAACCAGAACACCCAGGAUUAAAGUGACAUCCCCCAUGUGAG